AUUCGCCAGGUUUAGCCCGGAACGACUAUAUUCUGUUUUCGGAUUGAAAAAGAAGCUCGUUUAAAUGAGAUUUUCAUCGAAUGAUGAGGUCAUCGCUAAAACUGACGCGUUAUUUGCGGCUAAGGAGAAAUCAAAGUAUAAAACUGAUGUAGAGAUGUUGGAGCACCGUUGGAACAGUUGUAUUGUUCUCCAAGGGUUUAGAUUGAUGAAUAGAAUCAACAUUUGAAAAUAUGUGUAAAUUGCUUUGUUAGAUCGGAAACUUGCUACCGAAGUGUUACGACUAGGUACAACACGACUUUCGGUUAUAUGAUCCAGACCAGUAUUGCAGUACUUUAUAAAAGGCUCAUUUUUUUUAAAUAAGGAAUUAAACUUAGAAGAAAAAUUUGAUACUAACACUCAAUACGGCUUAUCUGUAAAUGUUGGGGUUUUUACUGUUAUAGCAAUGGCAUCACUUGGAAUGAGUUCUUAAAUUGGGAAUCCGAUUGCUUUAGUUAAGCAGAAAGAAACCUCUCAUCAGAAAAAUAAACUGUUGAAAGUCACAUACCUAAAUUAUAUAUAUUCAAAAUUCUUGUCAAGUAUUCCACGAAUCUCCCACCAAGAAAAAUUCUUUUGAUUGGUUUAUGAACUUAGGCACGUUCAUUAUAAUUUUGUUUAACGGUCCGGAUUAAUAGAGCAAAGAAAAAUGUCUCAAACGUGCAAUUAAAAUGACUUGAAAAAUGUUUGUCAAUCCACAUUCCACUGGAUUCGAGUCACCUCAUUUCACGUCGAAUCAUUUCACUGCAAUCCGCCGAGUCACUCAGUACCUCACCUCGUGACCCUAUUCCGUCCCCCUUUUUCCUGUGGCACUCGUAGCUUUGCACUGCUGCUCGAUGAAAAUUCGAGUAACCUCUCACCGAAGCUGUGUACCAACCAAACCACAGCCCUCACCGUUAGUCGUUCACUCAUCGACAGCCUCCCAAAAACGAAAAAAAAACAGAAAAAACUCUUCACCACCCACAGUAAGCGAUAAGUCGUGUCAGUUUGGAGCCAACCGGCACUGGGAAACCCACCGCCGGCACACACAGCUCGACUGCCGAAGUAAACGAAUCCCGGUCGGACCAUCAGACAGGAUAUCGCGAUUCACACGCCCGCACAGCACAAACUCCUGCGGUGCGGUGCCAUCGAGUGUCAGUCUUGUCGGCACCACCGUGGUGAAAGGAGCCCGACCAUUAUCAUUCCACUAGUACGGGCGUGAGGUUGCCCGGGCUUGUGCCUCCAGUUACGCCGCGAUGGUACGCGGAAAACAAACGACUUCUCGUCAGUUGGAAUUUCCUCGCCGCAGCACAGAGUGAUUUGCUGAGGGGGUGCUACCGGGAGGAUGAAUAUUGUUUUCAUUCGAUUUUCUUGCUUUUUGUUGAGGGUCUCUCGAUGUAAAGUGUUUUUAAGUUGGGGUUUUGGAUGAACCGAUUCCGCGUUCUUGGGAGGCAAUUUUGGACCCGCUGACAGUGCUUCUGGCUGGCAGGCUGGCUGGCUGCUGGUGACGGCGGAUUCUCGUGUGGAUGGCGGUAAAAAAAUGUAGACUUUGUGUCAAGCCGAAGCAAACGGUUUCGAUGACAGAAUGAAAUACAUAAUGAGGAAAAUGUAGUUUGCCCGGUGUUGCCGAGAUAACGACUGAAUCGUUGCGAAUGUGAAUGGAACGGUUUUGGGAAGAGGAAGAGUCAUCGAUUUCUGUUGCUGAAACGUUCGUUUGAAUUACACUCGAAGGGAAAGUGAUGUGACUAUUCACCGCCGACUACGGGAUGCCGGAUGGUUUUCAGUGCGAUUCGGAAACGAGCUGAAGGUAAAUAAAAGUGCCGGACAGAUGCAGCGAAUGUGCUUCGACCUUGUUGUGGAGUACCGAAGGAGUGAAGGAGAAAAAAUCAAGAAUCAUUUCCAAACUGAAUGGUGUCGUGUAAUUGAUGGUUUAUUUGUUUCCAGCAACGAUAAAAAUUAAGUCGCAAUGCUCGGGUGCAUGAGUGCGGUUGAUUGCGAGGAUUCUACACAGCAUACGGUGCACGUCGGUGCAAAGGUGUCGCUUUGAACGAAAGCUAGAACGCUAGGAUAUUCAUUCAGUGCACGUGGAACUAUUGAACGAGCAGAAGUGGAAAAAGGAAAAGAAAGAAACAAACAAAAAAAUACAAACAGUCGAUUCAUGAUUGAAAGCGAAGUGAUAAGAGCUUGAUUUUUAAUUGAAAAAUUCUGUCUUUCCCGAGUCAGGUUGAGGGAUGUGCACACGGUAACAAAAUGAUCCAUGAAGAGUGAUGGAGCAGAAGAUACCGAUCGACAGUCAUUGGUGUCUACUACUAGUUUACUUGGACAAGGACACGAACAAGAACAGUGCUGGGAUGCGUCACGGCGAGUGCCGUCCGUAGGUUCAAUCCCGAGAGACUGAAAAGAUUGAUGGGAACGUGGUGUCGACAGGAAUGCGGACAAUUCUUGCUGCCGAACUACCACCACCCCCCGGUCGGAUCAAACUGGUCACGGCGGCGGUGGAAGCUCCGCCAAGAUUCACAUCAAACACCGAUCCACAGCCACCUCUCGCCGGGGUCCCUUCGGGUCCGUAGAACAAUAAAAAAAAACGAAUGACAUACAUCUUUUCUCCGGUAAGACAACAAACGGACGGAGUAGUGAAAAGCACAGCAGUGCACAUUUUAUUCAUACGAAUCGGAAGAAAUCAUCGCCACAAUCCCGGCGGGAUACACGCGCGACCAUGACGGGAGGAUAAUGCAACGGAGCAGGCACUUCGAAUAAUGGGACUCAUUAUGAUUUGCACUGGACUCCCCCGAGAUGAACAGCCAGAAAGAAAUAGAUCACAAGUCAGAUCGAAAGCCAAGGGCCGUACGAAUUUCAGCACCAAUAAUGUUCUUCAUAUACUCACUUGAGCAGCCGGCAAUCGUGUUACGAUUAUUUACUCAGCGCGUAGCCGGGACCAGCGUGGCAAGAAGCAGAACCGUCGGGGGCAUGCGGGCGAACAGUGAAGACGUUUUGGAUCUGUAACAAGUUUAGAGAAAGAGACAAGACAGUAUAAAUAAACAUAAAUUGCUAGCAUUGUGAUUCGGGAUUCCGUUUGGACAAAUGGCAGACAUCAGGCAAACAUAA